AUCACCAGCUACACCCAGCAAGGCUGGUGUUGUCUCUGGAUUCUCCGUAUAACGCUGUGGGAAUACAGGAAGAUAAAGCUCAAAGUGGAGGGAAAUUUUUGGUAGCUUUGGGUGUUGGAAGUGGUGCAGCUCCCCAGGAUCCCAGCCCCUCAGCGAAGCCGUCCUCAGGUGUGGCCCUUCCAGAUGAGGAGUUCAACAAGACUACAUGGUAGAGCAGCCAGAUAAUCCACUAGAAAGAAGACUCAAAAUAAGAAGUAACCACAAAAUAAGAGACAGAGAAUGCUGAUUCACUAUGCAGUGAAACAUGCCUAACGUGUCAACAGCUAAUGCCCAGUGACAGAGUGGUUGUCUAGGCAACAGAAGAAGUCACCCACGCAAACACUUAAAGAAAUUAGGAUCAUCCUCUGCAUGUGAAGGAACAGAGAAGCACUCAGCUCUACCCUUUGGAGCAGGGGAUUGGACAGCAUGAACCUUCAAUCAUAUCUCUUGGAUGACCAAGGAAGGCUGGAUUUGUGCACCUAAAAAAUGGAAGCACAAACUGUACAACAAAUACUCUCCGUUCAAGUUGAAGUUCUCAAA